rnacentral:rRNA from 1 species
AAUCAACGCUGGCGGCGUGCCUCAGACAUGCAAGUCGAACGCGAAAGUCCCCUUCGGGGGGGCAAGUAGAGUGGCGCACGGGUGAGUAACACGUAGGUAAUCUACCUUUGGAUGGGGAAUAACAACCGGAAACGGUUGCUAAUACCGCAUAAUGCAGCGGCACCUAAUGGUGACAGUUGUUAAAGCGGGGGAUCGAAAGACCUCGCGUCUGAAGAGGAGCCUGCGGCGGAUUAGCUAGUGGUAAGGUAACGGCUUACCAAGGCAACGAUCCGUAGCCGGCCUGAGAGGGCGGUCGGCCACACUGACACUGACAUACGGGUCAGACUCCUACGGGAGGCAGCAGUCGGGAAUUUUGGGCAAUGGGCGAAAGCCUGACCCAGCAACGCCGCGUGAAGGAUGAAAUCCCUCGGGAUGUAAACUUCGCAAGAACGGGAAGAAUAAGUAGGGGACAAUACCCCCUAUGAUGACGGUACCGUUUGUAAGCUCCGGCU